rnacentral:rRNA from 1 species
GCUUACGGCCAUAUCAGCCUGGCUACGCCCGAUCUUGUCUGAUCUCGGAAGCUAAGCAGGGUCGGGCCUGUUUAGUACUUGGAUGGGAGACCGCCUGGGAAUACCAGGUGCUGUAAGCA